rnacentral:rRNA from 1 species
UACAGAGGUCUCAAGCGUUGUUCGGAUUCAUUGGGCGUAAAGGGUGCGUAGGCGGCGCGGUAAGUCGGGUGUGAAAUCUCGGAGCUUAACUCCGAAACUGCAUUCGAUACUGCCGUGCUUGAGGACUGGAGAGGAGACUGGAAUUUACGGUGUAGCGGUGAAAUGCGCAGAGAUCGGGAGGAACACCCGUAGCGAAGGCGGCACUCGUGGGCCGGUACUGACGCUGAGGAGCGAAAGCGUGGGGAGCGAACAGG